UACGUAGGGUGCGAGCGUUAAUCGGAAUUACUGGGCGUAAAGCGUGCGUAGGCGGUUUGUUAAGUCUGCUGUGAAAUCCCCGGGCUCAACCUGGGAAUGGCAGUGGAUACUGGCAAGCUAGAGUGUGUCAGAGGAUGGUGGAAUUCCCGGUGUAGCGGUGAAAUGCGUAGAGAUCGGGAGGAACAUCAGUGGCGAAAGGCGGCCAUCUGGGACAACACUGACGCUGAGGCACGAAAAGCGUGGGGGAGCAAACAGG
rnacentral:rRNA from 1 species